UCGCUGACGGGAAGAAAGACUUAGGGGAUGCAAAACAAGACUUCUAUGCUGCUGUGUUUACGUGAGCGUGCAAAUAUCGAAUUUUUUGUAGCACGAUCUGAUGAGAAUGUUAGCAAAAAUUGUUGGGAGACAUAACUUAAAUUUAGCACGUACAUGGUUACCUACUGCAGCUAUGUAUUCAACAGGAGGUGGACUCUUUUUCUUAUAUCUGACAGACUGGAAAUUGGUUCUCCAGUAUCUUCCAAUUUAUAACA